GGGUUGUGAGGUUAAGCGACUAAGCGUACACGGUGGAUGCCCUGGCAGUCAGAGGCGAUGAAGGACGUGCUAAUCUGCGAAAAGCGUCGGUAAGGUGAUAUGAACCGUUAUAACCGGCGAUGUCCGAAUGGGGAAACCCAGUGUGAUUCGUCACACUAUCGUUAACUGAAUACAUAGGUUAACGAGGCGAACCGGGGGAACUGAAACAUCUAAGUACCCCGAGGAAAAGAAAUCAACCGAGAUUCCCCCAGUAGCGGCGAGCGAACGGGGAGCAGCCCAGAGUCUGAAUCAGCUUGUGUGUUAGUGGAACGGUCUGGAAAGUCCGACGGUACAGGGUGAUAGUCCCGUACACCAAAAUGCACAGGUUGUGAACUCGAAGAGUAGGGCGGGACACGUGGUAUCCUGUCUGAAUAUGGGGGGACCAUCCUCCAAGGCUAAAUACUCCUGACUGACCGAUAGUGAACCAGUACCGUGAGGGAAAGGCGAAAAGAACCCCGGCGAGGGUGAAAAGAACCUGAAACCGUGUACGUACAAGCAGUGGGAGCACCUUCGGGUGUGACUGCGUACCUUUUGUAUAAUGGGUCAGCGACUUAUAUUCUGUAGCAAGGUUAACCGUAUAGGGGAGCCGCAGGGAAACCGAGUCUUAACUGGGCGUUAAGUUGCAGGGUAUAGACCCGAAACCCGGUGAUCUAGCCAUGGGCAGGUUGAAGGUUGGGUAACACUAACUGGAGGACCGAACCGACUAAUGUUGAAAAAUUAGCGGAUGACUUGUGGCUGGGGGUGAAAGGCCAAUCAAACCGGGAGAUAGCUGGUUCUCCCCGAAAGCUAUUUAGGUAGCGCCUCGUGAACUCAUCUUCGGGGGUAGAGCACUGUUUCGGCUAGGGGGUCAUCCCGACUUACCAACCCGAUGCAAACUACGAAUACCGAAGAAUGUUAUCACGGGAGACACACGGCGGGUGCUAACGUCCGUCGUGAAGAGGGAAACAACCCAGACCGCCAGCUAAGGUCCCAAAGUCAUGGUUAAGUGGGAAACGAUGUGGGAAGGCACAGACAGCCAGGAUGUUGGCUUAGAAGCAGCCAUCAUUUAAAGAAAGCGUAAUAGCUCACUGGUCGAGUCGGCCUGCGCGGAAGAUGUAACGGGGCUAAACCAUGCACCGAAGCUGCGGCAGCGACACGAUGUGUUGUUGGGUAGGGAGCGUUCUGUAAGCCUGCGAAGGUGUGCUGUGAGGCAUGCUGGAGGUAUCAGAAGUGCGAAUGCUGACAUAAGUAACGAUAAAGCGGGUGAAAAGCCCGCUCGCCGGAAGACCAAGGGUUCCUGUCCAACGUUAAUCGGGGCAGGGUGAGUCGACCCCUAAGGCGAGGCCGAAAGGCGUAGUCGAUGGGAAACAGGUUAAUAUUCCUGUACUUGGUGUUACUGCGAAGGGGGGACGGAGAAGGCUAUGUUAGCCGGGCGACGGUUGUCCCGGUUUAAGCAUGUAGGCUGGUUAUCCAGGCAAAUCCGGAUAAUCAAGGCUGAGGUGUGAUGACGAGGCACUACGGUGCUGAAGUAACAAAUGCCCUGCUUCCGGAAAGCCUCUAAGCAUCAGGUAACAUCAAAUCGUACCCCAAACCGACACAGGUGGUCAGGUAGAGAAUACCAAGGCGCUUGAGAGAACUCGGGUGAAGGAACUAGGCAAAAUGGUGCCGUAACUUCGGGAGAAGGCACGCUGGUGUGUAGGUGAAGUCCCUGCGGAUGGAGCUGAGACCAGUCGAAGAUACCAGCUGGCUGCAACUGUUUAUUAAAAACACAGCACUGUGCAAACACGAAAGUGGACGUAUACGGUGUGACGCCUGCCCGGUGCCGGAAGGUUAAUUGAUGGGGUUAUCCGUAAGGAGAAGCUCUUGAUCGAAGCCCCGGUAAACGGCGGCCGUAACUAUAACGGUCCUAAGGUAGCGAAAUUCCUUGUCGGGUAAGUUCCGACCUGCACGAAUGGCGUAAUGAUGGCCAGGCUGUCUCCACCCGAGACUCAGUGAAAUUGAACUCGCUGUGAAGAUGCAGUGUACCCGCGGCAAGACGGAAAGACCCCGUGAACCUUUACUAUAGCUUGACACUGAACAUUGAGCCUUGAUGUGUAGGAUAGGUGGGAGGCUUUGAAGCGUGGACGCCAGUCUGCGUGGAGCCAACCUUGAAAUACCACCCUUUAAUGUUUGAUGUUCUAACGUUGGCCCCUGACCGGGGUUGCGGACAGUGUCUGGUGGGUAGUUUGACUGGGGCGGUCUCCUCCCAAAGCGUAACGGAGGAGCACGAAGGUUAGCUAAUCGGUCGGACAUCAGGAGGUUAGUGCAAUGGCAUAAGCUAGCUUGACUGCGAGCGUGACGGCGCGAGCAGGUGCGAAAGCAGGUCAUAGUGAUCCGGUGGUUCUGAAUGGAAGGGCCAUCGCUCAACGGAUAAAAGGUACUCCGGGAUAACAGGCUGAUACCGCCCAAGAGUUCAUAUCGACGGCGGUGUUUGGCACCUCGAUGUCGGCUCAUCACAUCCUGGGGCUGAAGUAGGUCCCAAGGGUAUGGCUGUUCGCCAUUUAAAGUGGUACGCGAGCUGGGUUUAGAACGUCGUGAGACAGUUCGGUCCCUAUCUGCCGUGGGCGCUGGAGAAUUGAGGGGGGCUGCUCCUAGUACGAGAGGACCGGAGUGGACGCAUCACUGGUGUUCGGGUUGUCAUGCCAAUGGCACUGCCCGGUAGCUAAAUGCGGAAGAGAUAAGUGCUGAAAGCAUCUAAGCACGAAACUUGCCCCGAGAUGAGUUCUCCCUGAGACUUUAAGUCUCCUGAAGGAACGUUAAAGACGAUGACGUUGAUAGGCCGGGUGUGUAAGCGCAGCGAUGCGUUGAGCUAACCGGUACUAAUGAACCGUGAGGCUUAACCUUACAACGCCGAAG
rnacentral:rRNA from 1 species